CACAAACAGAAAUUCCGGCCUAGAAUGGACAGAGUAGAAUAGAAUAUACUGGCUGUAGCAUUGUUUUCAGAGAAGCAAGCUCAAGCUCAAACUACUCUUUAAAGAUUAAGGAGCCAUCUCAUUGCUCACCGGUACUGGAUGGGGCUACAGAAGUGAUUAAAGACGAACUGAGAUCCUUCACACUGGUGCCAAAACCCUGGAAAGGAGGAAGGGCAUGCUGUCUGGGAGAACUCUCCACUGCCGUCUGCCAGGAGAAGGAGGAGCCGUUGCUGUCCACCAGGGGACGGAGUAGUCGCAGCCAUCCACCAGGAGCCAGAGGAACUGCUGCUAUCCACCAGGAAGUGGAGGAGCUGUUGCUGUCUGCCAGGUGAUGGAGGACCCGCUGCCGUCUGCCAGGGGACGAAGGAGCGGCUGAGGACCGGGUGGGCGGCGUGCCCGUGGGAGCUGAAGAACAGCGUUUCCAUUCUCUCCCUCCUCUCUCUCUCUCUCUCUCUCUCUUUUCCUCCCUCCCCUCAUCUCUCUUAGAUUCUCAGGAGGUGGGGAGGACCAUCGGGUGGCAGAACGGGCAGAAGGGCAGCGUCUUCCCUCCAAUGAUGGGGAGAGGUGGAGUAAGGCAGUCCAAAUUGCGCCCCAGCCUGAAUCGGGUGGUGGAGGAUUCUGGCGAGGAUGAUGGCGUGGCCAGGCCGUGAGGAUGCACACCCUGUGCUGAGUUGCCUAAUCAGCAAGAGGGAGAUAAGGGAAGAGCCAGGAACACCAGAGAGAGGGAGAGAGAGGCACAUGUGGCCACUCUGUGUGUUUAUGUUGCUUUAUUUUCAGUUUGAUGUUCUGUUAAUUAAAGUCUUGUUGAAUGUGGAUCCGGCUCCCGCUUCCUCCUUUCCCAGACAAACUGAGAUCCUUCUCAGCUGUGUUAAAUUGGGAUGUGAACAGAUAUUCAUUAUUUAGUUAACUGUAAAACGCAGCUGUAUUAGAAUACCAAAAUCACUAUUCGGUAAUUCUACACAUGCUAAACAGGUCUUCAAGAAACUUUAGGUUUUGGUCUGGUCAGAUUUUCAAGUAUAGGGAGGGUUAACGCCUAAUUGCUCCUUGAUGCAGUCCAUGGGCUAGGGUUUGGUGAGACAGAGCUUACACAACUCUUCCUUGCCGGACUCGAUGAGCCUUUUGAUUGAAACAUGCUUGGCAACCAGGAAUAUUGGAACAUUUGGAGGUGGUCAACCAUGUUUUCCAGCUUUAAAAGAUGGAGCUUCUACUCGGGGAAUUGGACCCAUCUCUGACUAUCCCACCUCCCAGUCAUUGUCAGCCCCACUUGUUGGUCCAGUGCGGGCGAGGCGUCAUCAGAGAAAGAGGGGGAGCUCCAAAGCGCCCACCCUUUCCACUGCAGCCCCCUUGGAGGUGCCCACCCUCUUCACUGCAGCUACCCUGGAGGCACACGCCCUCUUCGCUGCAACCCCUGUGGAGGUGCCUGACCUCACUGUUGCAGCACACCUGGAGGCACCUGCCUUUGACCCUGUCCUCUCCCUAGAGCCUCCCACCCCAGAGCUACCGGACCUUAUCCAUUGCCAUUGCUUUGAGAUGCAUUGGGUUGUUUUUAGAUUACAAUAACUGCUAAAUAUUGAGAGUCUUUCAUUUUGUGUUAGUUUUGGAAUGCUCUUCAUGUGAGUUAGUGAGAUGUUAUCCAAAGCUUUUGAUGGUUUGCCUAUA